GAAAUUGGACAAUGACGUCAGAAAGAGUGCAUUAAGAUCCCAAGAGCAGAUGUAUUGUUAAGACAGUACAAUCAGUUAGGUGUUUUCUCGAGGCUACAAGUGAGAGAAAAAUGCCACUAUAUGGAAUUACUGCAUUACUAAAGUACGAUAUGUAAUAAUUCGAGCAAAACGUAUGAUUCAAAUGACUGCUGAUAGUUCUAAGGGUUGUGUCCUCAGUGAUUUGGGAGGGUCUGGGAGGAGGCCGUAAGAGGGGGGGUGUUCUGGAUACAGAGUGGGCGAGUUUUGAUGUCAUUUGACGAGAACGUUUUGUGGAAAACUGCAACCCCUCCGUCUUUGAAGUCUCAGGGUUAUUACUCUAUCAUGAGCAAUACAACGUAAGCAGGCUCUGAUUGGUUGGAAGCGUUUGUCUGGCAAAUGCAAAGAAUCGAGGACGUGGAAUUUUGAAUUUGACUCAACUUUGACGUUCUUUAUGACCAGGAAAAGAUAUAAUUGGUCUAGAUCUGCGUUAAGGCCAAGACUAGAUUGUAGACUUGAGAAAACUUUAACCUUCAAGGGAAUUUAGAAAGGGUUGGCGAGUUUUCGGGAGAUCGGGUCAGCAGGUGGUUGAGAAGCAAUAACCAGAAAGAGGGGAAAAAGGUGUUUCCUUUAAAUUUUUUUUUCAGUACAUUAUACAUAUCAAUCAAAUUUAAUUAGAAUUUUGAGAAGUCGAGUCAAAGUGGAAAAUUUCAGUUAAAUAUUUGAAGGUGCAAUGCGUGGUAUUGAACUGGUAUUGAAAAAUUUUGUGGACUGAAGCACUAUUUGUUUUGACUUGUCAGGUAUCGACUCAUAUUUUCGAGGUAUCCGCGGUAAGAUAAUGUAGGAAAUGGCCAGAAGGGAAGCCAAAUCGGAUAAGUUAGGGAAACAUCCCUUUGCCAGAACACCAACCAGUAGGGUCCGUAUAAUGGGCUGUUGCCUCUUGUCUCUGCUCGUGCAGCAGAGAUGAAUUUCGUUGCCAGCGUAUCCGAACGUUCCAUCGUCAUUAUUUCUUCAUUUAACGAGGAAGAUGGCAUUCUAAUAUUGCACUGACAGAUGUUCAAGUUCUCGACGAGAAUGUCCAACGUCUGAUGAUGAUCGGGUGUGGAGAAGUGUUUACCAAGGGCAGAGAAUCUUCAUAGAAGCUUAAGCACCAUAUACAUCGUUUCUCUUGCCUAUCAAAUCUUUGACUCUCAGAUGGAGAAUUUGAACAGUUAUCAACAGAAUCACCGAGGUACGUUUACAGAUAAAGAAGACGGUACAACGGUACAACUCCCUUAGACCUAGUUAGUAAGGUGACGAAUAUCUCAAUAUUUUUUUUCAUGAUAGUUCCUGCUGGACACGUAGCAUGCAACAGAGAUCUUCAGCUAUGACUGGACCCCUAGCUUUCAGUCUGAUAGCACUAAAAUGUGACGAAAUCAAGGCUUGAAGAAAAAUCAGAUUGUUCCACCAAGGCUUUCCAUAGCGUCGUUGUUAUGUUUUUUUUUUUAAUAUCUAGCGUUUUCCUUGUAAUGUAUUUGUGUCAGAUUUUUCAUUAUCACAAGAUCAGAAAAGCAUUUUUUGUACUGUAAACUAAAACUUGCAAUGAAGAGUCAUUACAAAGCUCUGAGGGGUCCGUUUAGUAGCUCCUCCCUCUUGCCAUUAGUAGAAAAUUAAGAAAAUUCUUGUUUUGGUUCGUUCAAUCUGUAACGAUAUCCUGCUGACAGCAUCUUCCUUCAUUUUGCCAACAGCGUGAAGGAAAUAAUAAACACGUUUCCCGCCGCUGUUUUUCAUCACCCCACCCAGAUUAAUUGGCGCUACCCGUACCACUCAGCCUCGCGGUCACGCUGUUUUGGUAAUAGCGAAGACAAUCGAAGCACCACCAUCCUAACGAAGCUCUCGGUGCGUGCGUUUCACUUGGAAGGAUUUCUGUUUGUGAGAGAUUUAAAGAAACAAAAAAAUAAAGCUAGUGCGGGUUUAAGCUUGGCAGUUUAGACAAACCCAUCCUGUUGUCUUAAUCCCUUCAUUGCCCACUGUGUUUUUAACAAGAACUUGUCUCUUUUUAUUCAAAAAAAAGAAACGAGCUGGUCACAACGUGUCUAGUCUAUAAGUCGAUGGUUGUGUUAUGUGGAAUUCAUUCUCCAAACUCUUUAAAUGAGGUUAUUCUCUUACUCGAAAAUCGGAGAGUAAUUGCUGUCUAAAACCACAUCCUUGCACCUCACCUGUCCCGAAGAACCUUCUGGACCGAUAGAAUUAACUCCAAGGUACUCUUUCCUUGCUUAGUUUUGCAUAUCGACAGAAUACACUCAUUUUGCUGUCAUUUGGGCUUUACAUCACGUUUCCUAGUUUUUGAAACGUCCCAAAAUACUGCUUAAAGGUCUAGAAAUAUUGGUUACUACAAUUUGAAGAGCUCGUUUGUGUUGUAUAUGCACCUUUCUUCGAGAAAGCUAAAACCCUGAGGGUAUAUUAAUCUGAUAUAGCUUUGUUGUUGAGCGUUUUUAACCCCAAACACCGAUUUUCACAGCCUAACUCCUAGGUAACAUAGUCUUAUGCAUAGUUGUCUCUAUGGCAAACAACUAGCUCGUAGCUCCAUAAAAAGCGAUCUUGACUGAAUGUAACUCAUUACUUGUAAUUCAAAGCUAAAGAGCUCGUAAUUACGAACUCGCUGAUAUGGUGGAAUAUUAUUUGCAUGUAUGUCGCUUUCUUUCAUCCAUUCUGAAUAAAAUUGUUUUAUUUCGGAUCUUAUCUUAAAUGUUCAUUAUCUUUUGAUUGUUGGUAAAACGUGUACGACGUAUUUGGUUUUUCUAAGUGAUAACAUUUUCCAGAAACGUACUUUCUGGUGAAACUAAAACUGUUUGGCAGAUUCAUCUCGCAGUCCAUAUAGUUUCCUGCGGGUAUGCUAGAUUAUAAAAUAACGCAUAAAAAAUGCGUUGGGUUGUGACUAGUUUCACAGUUUGUUUAGCAUAUAAACCAGAGGAUGAAUCAGUGAAGAGGGUUUGUUGAACUGACACAGAGAAAAUUAAAAAGUGUAGCAUUUA
rnacentral:misc_RNA from 1 species